UACAGAGGGUGCAAGCGUUUGUUCGGAAUUACUGGGCGUAAAGCGCGUGUAGGUGGCGAUGUAAGUCGGGUGUGAAAUCCCUCAGCUUAACUGAGGAAGUGCACUCGAUACUGUGUCGCUUGAGUGUUGGAGGGGAUGGCGGAAUUCCCGGUGUAGAGGUGAAAUUCGUAGAUAUCGGGAGGAACACCUGUGGCGAAGGCGGCCAUCUGGACAACUACUGACACUGAGACGCGAAAGCGUGGGUAGCAAACAGG
rnacentral:rRNA from 1 species